rnacentral:lncRNA from 1 species
GCUGACGCUGACGAACACGAUCAGCCGGCCGUGAACGGUGAAUGAUAAGAGUGGCAUAUAAUCGAGCAGAAGGCAUCACUACAAAUCGCG